CAUGCAGGCGGUCUGCUAAGUCCGGAGUGACAGUCACCAGCUUAACUGGUGAAGUGCUUUGGAAACUGGCUGGCUUGAGAGCGAGAGAGGGACACGGAAUUCCGGGUGGAGCAGUGAAAUGCGUAGAGAUCCGGAGGAACACCAAAGGCGAAGGCAGUGUCCUGGCUCGUUUCUGACGCUGAGGUGCGAAAGCCAGGGGAGCGAACGGGAUUAGAUACCCCGGUAGUCCUGGCCGUAAACGAUGACCACCAGGCGUGGGAGGGAUCGACCCCUUCCGUGCCGUAGUCAACACAUUAAGUGGUCCGCCUGGGGAGUACGGUCGCAAGACUAAA
rnacentral:rRNA from 1 species